GUUAGGAAUAUUGGACAAUGGGCGCAAGCCUGAUCCAGCCAUGCCGCGUGAGUGAUGAAGGCCUUCGGGUUGUAAAGCUCUUUAGCCGAUGAUUAUAAUGACUGUAGUCGGAAAAUAAGCCCCGGCUAACUUCGUGCCAGCAGCCGCGGUAAUACGAAGGGGGCGAGCGUUAUUCGGAAUCACUGGGCGUAAAGCGUGCGUAGGCGGCUUUGCAAGUUGGGAGUGAAAGCCCAGGGCUCAACCCUGGAAUCGCUCUCAAAACUGCCAGGCUCGAAUUCGGGAGAGGAUAGCGGAAUUGUCAGUGUAGCAGUGAAAUGCGUAGAUAUUGACAGGAACACCAGUGGCGUAAGCGGCUAUCUGGACCGAUAUUGACGCUGAGGCACGAAAGCGUGGGGAUCAAACAGGAUUAGAAACGCUGGUAGUCC
rnacentral:rRNA from 1 species